CCAUAGUGUUUUAUCACAGUAAUAGAAACUGUAACUAAUAACCUUAACCAAUUCAGGCUACUUGGCAGAAUGAGUAAGACCACACUCCACAGUGGGCUAUACCACUUAAUAUGGUUCAUUACUAUAGUGUGGUCUACAUC